rnacentral:lncRNA from 1 species
UGUUCUUCAAGUUUAUGUUGUGUUUCGACCAGUUGCACAUAUUUCGUUAUAAAGUCUAAUACUUUAUUGCUACAAAUUUUCAUAUCGUAUUGUAAGAAAGAAAACAACAAUAAAUGAUGUUAUUUUCAGAUAAUUUGUAACAGAUGAGAAAAGAAACAGGCUUAAUCUUUUUCAAUAGCAAAUAGGUUUGGCUGCUAUAGAUAAGUGAUAAAUUAUAAAAAUGAGGGACAUGAAUGUAUAUUCUUUUUCAGGAGAUAAUAGUAUAUCUAUUAUUUUUCUUGAAUUUCGUGUCGGCGCAAGCGCAAGUCGCUUGUAGAUUUACUGUAUGGGGAGAAGGGUUCAGUAUUAUGUAGACAGUCAACGGGUGCACAACAGACAGUUAAGAUAAUAUUCAUAAUGUUAUGGUAUAAUAUACAAUAAUCUGAUAGAAAUAUGAGUGAAGUAAAACAGUUAGAAUUUAAAAGUAAAAUUCAAAAACAGUUUAAAAAAAUUGAGUUUGAUUAAAAGGUUGGAAAAUAGACAUUCUAAAUAGACACACGCACACGCAUGGAGAGAGGGAGAGAGAGAGAAAGAGAGAGAGAGGGGGGAGAGGCUCAAAAUUUAAAGUUCAACUUUUCAGCCAGACAUGGUUUCUGACUUAUUCUUGAGCGGAAGGAAAUAAAUGAUGGGAUAUAGAGGCCAACUUACCGUGUUUAAUUGGCCACAAAAUGAACAAUAUUGUACGAUAUAUAAACAACCUGGUGUGGCAUGUGAAAGUACUAUAAUAAAGAGAUCCAGGUUAAAUUGAAAUGUAAGAAAUGAUGUUAACUGAAAGUGAUAAAAAUAUCAGAAAUCAUACGCCUUCAUAGGUUUGCACACUUUUUCUGAAUGUAUAAAUUUUGUAAUAAAAUAUAAUGUAUUCAAUUUAAAUAGAAUUAUUAAUAUGUUUAUUUUAAAUGUUCUUAUAAUAGAUUUGUAUUAUUAAAAAUAAUGUUUAGCUAGAUUUUUCUAAAGUUAAUUCAAGCUUACGAGACUUAGGUUUUGAUUAAUGCUAACGUAGGUCGACGAAUUUAUACAAGACUAAACAAUAUAAGUAGUACAUGACGUCUUAAAAAGCAUAUUACUACCUGAAAAAACACAAAAGAUCCCAUUAUAGCAAAAUGGAAGAUAUGAUUAAUUAUCAUAAACUUCGAUUGUUGGUAUGGCCACAAAUUGAUCGCCGCGAGAAAUAUCUGAUUUAAUCUAUAAUAAUGAUUCUCGGCGAAGUUUGUUUCCUCGCGCUUCAAGAACAUAUUUUUAAAAAAGGGUUGACACACCGUAUGGUACGUUUUCCAGUAGAAUGAUGUAACUGUUUCCGAUCCUCGCCGGAUGUGUUUUAUAAAAUAUUGUCAUUAGCAUUCAUGGUACCGCGCCAAGUUAGGGACGGUCAUCGAUUGGUCGCAGUUGCGUUUUCACACCGAAGGAAACGACAGAAAGUCAAAUUAUUGAAAUUGCACGUUUGUUUGUCCGAUGUUGUUUUCUCACAGCAAGGGUGAAAUAAUAUCAUCCGUUUUCUUUAACUUUACCGCAGGCGCAGGCGCAAUUACAGGUUUCCAAAAUGCUUCUUGUGCGACACUCUCAUAGUUGUUCGAGACGUCAAACGUUGCAUUACGAAUUGCUCUGUUACGCGAGUGUUUUUUUAUUAUGUGCCACGUAAAAAUUCAUAUUUUGUUUUAUUUAGUUAUAAAUAUAUUAAUGCAAAAAUGUAUAAUUUCAUAGAACCACAGAAGUAAAAAAAAAAAUAAUAUAAAGAAAAAAGAAAUAAAUUCAAAUUAAAGAAGAAGAACAUAAUAAGUUUGUUUAACUCUAGAGUGCUAUUGUAGAAUAUCGACUUCUUCAAGAAUCUCGUGUAAUUCUCUACAAUGAGCUACUAAGUGCUGUAUCGCAUUCUAUGUGGUCAUCGUGUGGAGUAAAUCAUUGUGAAGUUCAUGCACUCAGAUAAGGUUACUGUGGGAGACAAUCG